CUGCCUUCUGCCUGCUUUUCUCAUCCACUCCCAAGAGUUUUGUCACCUCCUAAACUCUGCUGAUUUUACUUCACUUCUCAGUACCCACUUCUGACCCUUCUAAGGUCUCCCCUCCCUGGAUUCUUACCAGGGCCUUCAACUCAGAGGGUCCAAACUAAACUCAAAGUCUUCCCCAAACUACUUUCCUGAGUCUCUUCUUUCUGUUGCUCAAUUACUGGGCAAAACCAAUCCUAGGCUCCUAGUUCUCCACAGAGUAAGGAUCAAACUACUUAGCAUUACUUACCUCAUUUGUCUUUUCAUAAUUAGUAUCUUUUUUUGCCUUCCAGACACAAGUGUCAUAAUUCCUCUUGCUCUGAAUACUCCAUGCUCCAA
rnacentral:lncRNA from 1 species